ensembl:lncRNA
GGCGCUUUCGAUCAUAUCAAAUCAUCUUGUUUGAUGGAUUCAUUUGUAUCCGCUUGCAGUUUUCUUUAAAACAGCUGGCGAUCAGAUUUUAACACAAAGCUAAACUUUCCCAGGGAAUGAAAUCGCUGGCAUUCCCCUUAACAUGCUUGAAGAGGUUUCUCAGUUGCAAGCAAGGGACAAUUAUUGGAAGAAAUAAAAAUAGAGUAAAUCGUGUAUUAGUUCCUCUUUACAAUUCAACACCAAAACAAUGCAUUGUGUCUGCAGGGCAACUAGUGUUCGUGCCGGAUAAGAAGCCCGCAGUACAAAACCUAUUUUGUAAGAAUGCGUUUCAACAUUGUCAGUGAUUUCCUUCCAAAGAAAGCCAUUUCUUUUUAUCACUAUUAACAAACAGCUCAGAAGCAGCUGUGUGAAAAUCUAGAAUCAAAUAUGCUGUAUUGUCCAGGGAGCGUGUGCUAGAACACAGGCCCAGGAAAGGAGCAGGGUGGUGCUUAUAAUAAAAAGGGGGUGGUUUUACAAUAGACAGUUCAACUUAUUUAAAGCACAAAGCAGAAAAGAGCAUUGACUGUACAGGAAGUGGUGGUGGGGUGGGAGGUAGACUGUUGGAAAAGAAAAUGACGCCUACGUGACACACAAGGGUUGGACAUGACGAGAAGGGGGGAAAGGCCAGAGAGAAGAGAAGCUCCAGAAGACAUCUGGCUUUACUGCUGUUUCAAACUGGAAUAUUUCUUACAAUGGCAAGCCCUUUAAAGAAAGGUAGGUGAGUCCCGCUGCAGAGGGUUUUGAUGUGGAUAACUUCAAGCUGUGCUUGAGGGGCUUCAUUUUAGUUUUGGCAGCAGACGUGUCCCGGUUUUGUUCCAACUUCUGAUUUUACUGCAGUCUGCAAUGCCAAUACUGUUGUUCUUUGGAUACUUCACAAAUAAAUUAAGAGGGGAGAAAAAAAAAGAAUACCCUAAACAUUUGGCUUACAUUUUUUUAAUAGAAGGACAUGCUGGCUGUAAUUGUUU